GGAGAGUGCAAGUUAGAGGUUUUUUGUUUUUUGUUUAUUUGUUUGUUUGGGUUUUUGUUUGGUCUUUGUAGUGUGUGUUUGUAGAUUUGAUAGUUUGAACUAGGUCGGGUAAAGUCUGUAAGUCUACACUCCGGAACAGAAGGUGGCGGUAAUGCACCAAGAAGCUGGAUGCCAACCGCCGUAAAACAAGAAGAAGAAGAAGAAGGCGCGCUGCGUUCUCUUGCCGACCGUUAGCCGAACGGUAGGAAGACACGAUUACUACUUUGAGUGUCAUUGGUGGCAUUGACACUAAAGACAUGGUGUGGCGAUUGAUGAAGCAGUGCUUUGCCAGUGAGUUUGUGAACUCACUGGCAAAGCUGUUGAACUGGCGUGGGAUCAAUGGAAAAACUGCUUUCCACAGACUGCAGCUUAAAGAUGUACUAACUGGAACAGUUAGAAACAAUCAACUUACUGCCAGUGCAACGGACCAGGAAGUGGAGGCAUAUAUAAAGAGAUGGCUUCGUCUUUCUGGAGACAGAGAUGGCGGAAAGAAAGAGAGGGAGGAGAAAAAGCGGGCCUCACAGCACUUGCAGGGAAGGACUGAGAUGGGAAGUUGUGCCCCAACUGCGCAGCUCACCAAUUUGCAGAAUGGGCUCAAACAUGCACACUCGGUGAGGUGGACCUGAUUUGCACUGGAUUUGCGCCUUGCCGCCGGGCCAAGGCCAAGAGAAGACGAGCCAGAUGAGGAGUGAUUUUUCCCUUUAAAUUGGUCCAGUCUUCUACUGUUUCAUCUUAUUACCUCCACCAAGGAGGUUAUGUUUUUGCCAGUUGUGUGUUUGUUUGUGCUUUUAUAGUUCAUAUUUUUUUCAGUCCACUCCACUGACUUUGUUUGAACUGUUUUACUUUGUUAGAAUAAAAAUAAAUAAAAAUUGUUGUCCUCUACUGUCA